rnacentral:lncRNA from 1 species
CACCAAUCCCUCCCCUUCAGGUACACAUGAUCAACACAUUUUACCCACAAGUUGUCUUCUUUCUUUGCUAUAUCCUAUACAUAUUUUUCAAUUGUAGUUUCAUUCCAUUUUACAUAGUCUCUGAUCCCCAAUCCUCCUUUCUUUUUAUGUCUAGUAACCACAUCCCAUGCCACUAGAGGUGUUCUAUUUGUUUCUACUUUACCAUUCCAAAGGAAGUUCCAACAGAUUGCUGCAAUUCUCUUCAUCACCAGUUUUGGAAGAAUGAAGAUCGAUGCCCAGUAUAUGUGUACAUGCAUGAGUACUGAGUUAAUAAGUUGCACCCUGCCUGCAUAAGACAAAUUUCUUGUCCCCAUCCUCUAAUUCUACUAGUUAUGUUUUGUGCCAAUAAAUCACAAUCUGUUGCUGAUAUCUUUCUUGCUAAUAUUGUGACUCCUAAGUAUCUGAAUGGAAGUGCCCCUUCUUGUAUCCUGUUAAUUCACAUAAGUCCUCUAAGCAUGACUCCUCCAUAUUAGCAUUGAAAAUAUUUGACUUAUCAACAUUAGUGUAUAGCCCUGAUGAGUGAGAGAAACUUUUCAGGCCCCUAAGCAUCAAUAUGACUGAAUGGAAGUCUCCUAUGCUAAAUAAUAGCACAUCAUCAACAAAACAUAAGUGGUUGAGAUGCAGGCUUUUAUAUUUUGUAUGAUAGUGGAAUCCUUCCUGAUUAGCUACAACCUUCAUAAUCCUAGUGAAGUACUCCAUGCAUAUUAUAAACAAUAAUGGAGAUAUGGGAUCCCUUUGUCUCAAUCCUCUUUUGCCUAUGAUUUUCCCAUACAUUCCUCCAUUUAGAGCCAGUGUAUAUUGUGUUGAAGUGAUGCAAACCAUUAUCUAUCUUAUAAAUCUUUCAAGAAAAUUAAGAGCAUAUAGCAUUUCUUGAACAAACUCCCACUCAACAGUGUCAUAAUCCUUCAUGAUAUCUACUUUAAUGAGGCAACUUUUUGUAGAAUUCUUUCUAUUGUACAAUCUCACUAAGUCUUGGCAUAUAAGUAUAUUCUGCACAAUGGUUCUAUUUGCCACAAAUGCACCCUGGUUAUGUGAUAUGACUGUAGGAAGUACUUCCUUGAGUCUGUUGCAUAGCAUCUUAGAAAUUAUCUUAUAGACUGUGUUGCAGUAGGCUAUUGGUCUGUAUUCACUUACUGACUCUGCAUGGUUGCUUUUAGGUAUGAGAGUAAUGGUUGUGUUGUUCAUUAUCUUCAACAAUUUACCAUUGUCAAAAAAUUCCAACACUGCAUCACAUAUAUCUUUCCCUACUAUCUCCCAGUUGUCUUUAAAAAAUUGACUUACAUAUUCAUUAGGACCUGGGGAUUUAUCUCCUAGUAUUGCCCAUAAGGCUUAUUUAACCUCUUUUUAUGUGAAGUCAUCCUCCAGCAUGCUUCUUUAUGCCACUGAUACUAUUGCUCCUUUCCUGACCAAAUUGCUAUUGACAUGAACUCUUUGUGUAGCUUUUGUUCCCAGCAACUCUUUGUAAUAAUCCAGAAAAGCUAUUGCAAUCUCUUCUAUUUCUGUUUUUGUUUCUCCCUUGUCAUUUCUAAUAUUAAACACUCUUGUUGCAUUCCUUCUGCUCUUCAUGUAAUUGUGGAGGUAUUUUGUAUUUUGGUCACCUCCCUGAAGCCAUUGUGCUUUGCUUUUUUGUUGUAAAUAUAAUUCCCUUGCCUUGUUCCACCUCUUGCACUCAUGAAUUAGCUUGCGUUCCUCCUCUAACAGUGCCAUGUUCUGUGGAUCCUGCUGUAUAUUGCUUUGACAUGCCAUCAGAUGUCUCAUUGCUUCUUCUGCUCUCAUUUCAACAUUGCUAAAUCUUGUUCUAUUUAACUCUUGCAAGGCUUUAAGGCUUUUUUCAAGUUAUUCAACUUGCCAACUAACUGGAACAUCUUUGUACCUGGUAAUGAUGUAGUCUAGUUGCUCUGCACUUUCUGUUUGUACUCAGGGACAAGUUUCCAUAUAUUAAAAUACUUGAAUGAUCUUGUAUUAUUCUGACUACCUUUAUCCCAUUUUAUGAUUGCAGGACAAUGGUCAUACAACCCCUCAUUCAUAAAAUGAACCUCUGAUGCCGGCAGUUGAGUAAGCCAGUCUAUAUUGGUCAACACUAUGUCAAUCCUACUAUACACUCUAUCGGUCCCUUGUUGUUUGCUAUUCCAUGUAUAGAAGGCUCCCGAUGAUUUUAAUUCCUGCAAUUCACAUUGGUC